rnacentral:rRNA from 1 species
CCUACGGGUGGCAGCAGUGGGGGAUAUUGCACAAUGGGGGGAACCCUGAUGCAGCGACGCCGCGUGGGUGAAGACGCGCCUCUGCGCGGUAAGCCCCGUCUGCCGGGAAGCAAAUGACGGUACCUGAAGAAGAAGCCCCGGCUAACUACGUGCCAGCAGCCGCGGUAAUGCGGAGGGGGCAAGCGUUAUCCGGAUUUACUGGGGGUAAAGGGGGCGCAGACGGCGUUGCAAGCCAGGAGUGAAAGCUCGGGGCCCAACCCCGGGACUGCUCUUGGAACUGCGUGGCUGGAGUGCAGGAGGGGCAGGCGGAAUGCCUGGUGUAGCGGUGAAAUGCAUAGAUAUCAGGAGGAACACCGGUGGCGAAGGCGGCCUGCUGGCGUGCAACUGACGUUGAGGCACGAAAGCGUGGGGAGCGAACAGGAUUAGAUACCCGAGUAGUC